GGGGGUUGCGUUCAAAAGUGUGUUUUCUCUCACUCUUGAGCCCAGGUAUCCCAUUCCUCUACUCAGAAGCAAGUGAUGUUUUUAGUUUCUUGGCUUUCAGAGCUAUUUUUGUAUGGCUAAAACCAUUUUACAUUACACAGUUAUGUCUACCCAGUGCUGUCUCUUUGCUGCAGUAUAUAUUAGCAUGUAACAGUUAUGUCUCCCUUGUGUGGUCCCUUUUUCCUUUUCUAUGCACUGUUCAGGCCCCUCCAAAGCUGGUCAUUUUUAGUAAAUUCUUACUACAGUUAGCUGUUGAAGAAAUAGCAAUGAAAUAGUUUGCCUAUAUCUUUGAAGCUCAAAAUCAAGAUGAGAUUUUGAAAUGAGAUGAGAAAAUCUCCACACUUAAAGGAACAUAGACUUUUAAAAAUCAGCGUGGCA
rnacentral:lncRNA from 1 species